rnacentral:rRNA from 1 species
UACGUAGGGUGCAAGCGUUGUCCGGAAUUAUUGGGCGUAAAGAGCUCGUAGGCGGUCUGUCGCGUCUGCUGUGAAAACUCAGGGCUUAACCCUGAGCUUGCAGUGGGUACGGGCAGACUAGAGUGCGGUAGGGGAGACUGGAAUUCCUGGUGUAGCGGUGAAAUGCGCAGAUAUCAGGAGGAAAACCGGUGGCGAAGGCGG